AGCAGCCGCGGUAAUUCCAGCUCCAAUAGCGUAUAUUAAAGUUGUUGCAGUUAAAAAGCUCGUAGUUGAAUUUCGGGAUCAGUUGGUCGGUCGUGCCUCGGUACGUACUGGUCAAAUUGAUUCCUACCUUCUGACGAACCACGAUGCCAUUAAUUUGGUGUCGCGGGAAAUCAGGACUGUUACUUUGAAAAAAUUAGAGUGUUUAAAGCAGGCUCGCGCUUGAAUACAUUAGCAUGGAAUAAUGAAAUAGGACGUUUGAUUCUAUUUUGUUGGUUUCUAGGAUCGACGUAAUGAUUAAUAGGGAUAGUUGGGGGCAUUAGUAUUCAAUUGUCAGAGGUGAAAUUCUUGGAUUUAUUGAAGACUAACUACUGCGAAAGCAUUUGCCAAGGAUGUUUUCAUUAAUCAAGAACGAAAGUUAGGGGAUCGAAGACGAUCAGAUACCGUCGUAGUCUUAACCAUAAACUAUGCCGACUAGGAAUCGGAUGAUGUUAAUUUUUAAUGACUCAUUCGGCGCCUUACG
rnacentral:misc_RNA from 1 species